rnacentral:rRNA from 1 species
GUCUGUGCGAGUAAAAUUGAUGCACAGUCUGACCUGCCCACUGAAGUUUUUAAAGGGCCGCGGUAUUUGAACCGUGCUAAGGUAGCAUAAUAAAUAGUCUUUUAAUUGAGGUCUAGUAUGAAUGGUUGGACAUGAAGUAAGCUGUUUUAACUGCAAGGGUUGAACUUUACUUUUAAGUGAAAAGGCUUAAAUUCUAUGGUGGGACGAUAAGACCCUAUAAAGCUUUACGUGUUAUCUGUUUGUUAAAGAGUAUAUGGUUCUCUAUUCUUAUCAGUUAAAGACGUUUCGUUGGGGCGACGAAAAUAUAAAAUAGUAACUGUUUUUAUUGUUAAAAUAAAUUUUUUUAGGGGAGCUGAUCCUUCAUAGAGAUUAUAAGAAUUAAGUUACUUUAGGGAUAACAGCGUAAUUUUUCUUGAGAGUUCAUAUCGACAGAAGUAGUUGCGACCUCGAUGUUGAAUUAAGAUACCCCUUAGGUGUAGGAGUUUUGGUGGUAGGUCUGUUCGACCUUUAAAAUCUUACAUGAUUUGAGUUCAGACCGGCGUG